rnacentral:rRNA from 1 species
GACGAACGCUGGCGGCGUGCUUAACACAUGCAAGUCGAACGAUGAAGCCGGAGCUUGCUCUGGUGGAUUAGUGGCGAACGGGUGAGUAACACGUGAGUAACCUGCCCUUGACUCUGGGAUAAGCGUUGGAAACGACGUCUAAUACCGGAUACGAGCUAGGACCGCAUGGUCACUAGCUGGAAAGAACUUCGGUCAAGGAUGGACUCGCGGCCUAUCAGUUAGUUGGUGAGGUAACGGCUCACCAAGACGACGACGGGUAGCCGGCCUGAGAGGGUGACCGGCCACACUGGGACUGAGACACGGGCGAGACUCCUACGGGAGGCAGCAGUGGGGAAUAUUGCACAAUGGGCGCAAGCCUGAUGCAGCAACGCCGCGUGAGGGACGACGGCCUUCGGGUUGUAAACCUCUUUUAGCAGGGAAGAAGCGCAAGUGACGGUACCUGCAGAAAAAGCACCGGCUAACUACGUGCCAGCAGCCGCCGCGG